CCUACGGGAGGCUGCAGUGGGGAAUAUUGGGCAAUGGGCGCAAGCCUGACCCAGCAACGCCGCGUGAAGGAAGAAGGCUUUCGGGUUGUAAACUUCUUUUCUCAGGGACGAAGCAAGUGACGGUACCUGAGGAAUAAGCCACGGCUAACUCCGUGCCAGCAGCCGCGGUAAUACGUAGGUGGCAAGCGUUAUCCGGAUUUACUGGGUGUAAAGGGCGGGUAGGCGGGACUGCAAGUCAGAUGUGAAAACCAUGGGCUCAACCUAUGGCCUGCAUUUGAAACUGUAGUUCUUGAGUACUGGAGAGGCAGACGGAAUUCCUAGUGUAGCGGUGAAAUGCGGAGAUAUUAGGAGGAACACCAGUGGCGAAGGCGGGCUGCUGGACAGCAACUGACGCUGAGGCGCGAAAGCGUGGGGAGCAAACAGGAUUAGAUACCCGUGUAGUC
rnacentral:rRNA from 1 species